rnacentral:rRNA from 1 species
UACGGGGGGGGCAAGCGUUGUUCGGAAUUACUGGGCGUAAAGGGUUCGUAGGUGGCCAACUAAGUCAGACGUGAAAUCCCUCAGCUUAACUGGGGAACUGCGUCUGAUACUGGAUGGCUUGAGUUCGGGAGAGGGAUGCGGAAUUCCAGGUGUAGCGGUGAAAUGCGUAGAUAUCUGGAGGAACACCGGUGGCGAAGGCGGCAUCCUGGACCGACACUGACGCUGAGGAGCGAAAGCCAGGGGAGCAAACGGG